AAUAUAUAGCUAGUUAAGGAAUCCGUGCUACGCAACAGAUUUAUUUAUCUUUUUUAUAAAUAAUUAAUAAAUAAUUAAUUAUAUUUUUUAUAAAGUAAAUAAUAAUAUAUUUUAGUUAAUUAAAUAAAAAAAUUUAGAUACAUUUUCGCAGGCUAUCAAUUGUAUCAGAUAUGCAAGUUUUAAUUACAAACAAUAAUAUUGAUCUUAACACCUGUUCGGGUUCAGAUUAUAAAUUCAUAAGUUUGUAUUUUAAUUAUAAUAAAACUUUAAAAUAUAUAAUUAUUUAUGCCUAAUUUUUAAAUAUUUUAGAUUGUAUGUAUUAAAUAUUAAUUUUAAUUUUAUAAUUAUUUAGAUAUAAAUAAUUCAUUUUUAUAAAAAACACUACAAUUAAGUUUUUUUUAAAAUAUAUUUAAUUACAACAAUUAUGUAACGCCCCGACUUCCCAGGGGGUCACCCAUCCUAGGACUACUCCCGUCCUAGUACGCUUAACUCUCUUAACCUCUUGGGUCUAGCCACCACCCAAAAUGCUUAAGCCGGGUUAAGAGUUUAGCCCUAUUAUAUCUUAUAUAUAGGACUAUCUGGGGUCUCACAAUCUCUCCUCCUUUAAGCCCUGACGUCCUCGUCAGGCUCAGACUCACAAGUACCAAGUGAUGUGAGACUCGUCUCGCUAGCCCGUCAUCCAGACCCUGGCUCUGUAAGGACUGAGAUUUUUGACAGUGCAACUAAACUCUCUGUUGACGAUGUUUAUGUGUGUAAUUUAAUUACAUAAGCACUCGUCAAGUUUCAGGAGAAAAUGAGCCUAAACGGAGAAGUUACGCGAUUAUUAGUUUUCACUUAAGUGAAUAGUAACUCCGGUUUUCCGGAGAAGCCACGGAGUAGAGUUGGCUUCUGGUGCGUAUCGGACUCCGUUCAUAUCAGUCCAAUAGCUCGUUUCGACCGGUUCAGCUGUUCUGGAACUAGUGGCGCUGAUGGAUUUUGAGUUUGACGCACGGAUUUCGAGAAAAUUCAAAAAUACAUGUUUUAUAUGUAUUUGUGUGUGUGUUUCCUUCUAUUGGAAGAAGGUUGGAUUUUGUUGUGAAUCCGUGAUCGAUCAAGAUGAAUCGUACGUGUAGCUUUGUUGUCUCCGAGGUGCUGAUCGCACUGGUGCAAUCUGUUCGCAAAUCUGACGGACGGAUCUGCGGAGAUCGCGCGUUGAUCGAGGAGAGGUCAGGGAUGGCAAAACGGUAAUUUCGCGAAAGUCGCGAUAUUUUAUGUACCGUUUCGCGAGAGAUCGGGCAUGGAAGGGUAUUCGUG
rnacentral:lncRNA from 1 species